rnacentral:sRNA from 1 species
GUGUGUAUAAUAUGAAUUACCUUAUUUGUUGCUAGUUUACUAGUCAACAAGAGGCCAUCUCCUUUGUGUUUUUUAUAGUAAGAGAGAUUUUUUGCUCGAGGUUGAUAUCAUGCUCGAAUAUCAAUCUAAAUUAUUCAUUUCCCGUCUAAGGCAGUUCAGCAAGCGCUGGGCUGCUUCUU